AGGAUUAAGGGCUAUUAAACCCGCUAUUUGAUUUGCACUCAAACAUCUUCUUUAAACC
rnacentral:tRNA from 1 species